AUUGAACGCUGGCGGCAGGCCUAACACAUGCAAGUCGAGCGGCAGCGGGAAAGUAGCUUGCUACUUUUGCCGGCGAGCGGCGGACGGGUGAGUAAUGCCUGGAAAUUGCCCAGUCGAGGGGGAUAACAGUUGGAAACGACUGCUAAUACCGCAUACGCCCCACGGGGGAAAGCAGGGGACCUUCGGGCCUUGCGCGAUUGGAUAUGCCCAGGUGGGAUUAGCUAGUUGGUGGGGUAAUGGCUCACCAAGGCGACGAUCCCUAGCUGGUCUGAGAGGAUGAUCAGCCACACUGGAACUGAGACACGGUCCAGACUCCUACGGGAGGCAGCAGUGGGGAAUAUUGCACAAUGGGGGAAACCCUGAUGCAGCCAUGCCGCGUGUGUGAAGAAGGCCUUCGGGUUGUAAAGCACUUUCAGCGAGGAGGAAAGGUCAGUAGCUAAUAUCUGCUGACUGUGACGCUACUCGCAGAAGAAGCACCGGCUAACUCCGUGCCAGCCGCCGCUGUAA
rnacentral:rRNA from 1 species